rnacentral:rRNA from 1 species
GGACGCGAUCAUAUUGGCACUAAAGCAUCAGAUCCCAUCAGAACUCCGAAGUUANGCAUGCUUGGGCGAGAGUAGUACUAUGAUGGGUGACCUCCUGGGAAAUCCGUGUGUUGCAUUCC